rnacentral:rRNA from 1 species
GACGAACGCUGGCGGCGUGCUUAACACAUGCAAGUCGAACGGAAAGGCCCUGCUUUUGUGGGGUGCUCGAGUGGCGAACGGGUGAGUAACACGUGAGUAACCUGCCCUUGACUUUGGGAUAACUUCAGGAAACUGGGGCUAAUACCGGAUAGGAGCUCCUGCUGCAUGGUGGGGGUUGGAAAGUUUCGGCGGUUGGGGAUGGACUCGCGGCUUAUCAGCUUGUUGGUGGGGUAGUGGCUUACCAAGGCUUUGACGGGUAGCCGGCCUGAGAGGGUGACCGGCCACAUUGGGACUGAGAUACGGCCCAGAAUCCUACGGGAGGCAGCAGUGGGGAAUAUUGCACAAUGGGCGGAAGCCUGAUGCAGCAACGCCGCGUGCGGGAUGACGGCCUUCGGGUUGUAAACCGCUUUCGCCUGUGACGAAGCGUGAGUGACGGUAAUGGGUAAAGAAGCACCGGCUAACUACGUG